GGGAAGUAUGGUUGCAAAGUUGAAACUUAAAGGACUUGACGGAAGGGCACCACCAGGAGUGGAGCAUGCGGCUUAAUUUGACUCAACACGGGUAAACUUGCCAGGUUAGAACUUAUUGAAGUAAGACAGAUUAAUAGCUCUUUCUCAAAAUCAAGGGUAGUGGUUCAGGGCCGUUCUUAUUUCGUGGAAUGAUUUGUCUGGUUAAUUCCAAUAACGAACGUGACUCCAUCAAAUUAAAUAGAACGCUAUCAGCAGUCAGAUGUUUGAUACCGACGGAUCGGGCAACGGUCGCUCGCGGCUCGCGCUCGGCCAGCGGUGUAGUGUGACCUGAUGAUACGUCACCCCAUCGUGGUUGACCUCGCUACAAUGUGCGCAGCAACACGUAUCCUUGCCCGAAAGGGCCGGGAAAUCGCUUAAAUGCGCAUGGCCGGGUAAAGGCACAUACUAGGGUCGAAAGCCUUAGUAUGGGCAAUAGACCUGUUCACUUUUUUUUUUUGACCUACCCGUGUCA
rnacentral:ncRNA from 2 species